CCUACGGGAGGCAGCAGUGGGGAAUCUUGCGCAAUGGGCGAAAGCCUGACGCAGCAACGCCGCGUGCGGGAUGAAGGCCUUCGGGUUGUAAACCGCUUUCAGUGGGGACGAAUUCAGACGGUACCCACAGAAGAAGCCCCGGCCAACUACGUGCCAGCAGCCGCGGUAACACGUAGGGGGCGAGCGUUGUCCGGAAUCAUUGGGCGUAAAGAGCUCGUAGGCGGCUCAGUAAGUCGGGUGUGAAACCCUCAGGCUCAACCUGGGGACGCCACCCGAUACUGCUGUGGCUAGAGUCCAGUAGGGGAGUGUGGAAUUCCCGGUGUAGCGGUGAAAUGCGCAGAUAUCGGGAGGAACACCAGCGGCGAAGGCGGCACUCUGGGCUGGAACUGACGCUGAGGAGCGAAAGCGUGGGUAGCAAACAGGAUUAGAUACCCUAGUAG
rnacentral:rRNA from 1 species